GCCUGGGUGGCUCAGAGGUUGAGCAUCUGCCUUUGGCUCAGGGAAUCCUGGGAUUGAGUCCCACAUCGGGCU
rnacentral:tRNA from 1 species